rnacentral:pre_miRNA from 1 species
AGCUUUUCGAAUCCGUACUGAGAUUUCGUCGGACACCAACACAUUAGGGCUGAUCAAACUUCCAAGGUAAGUAAAGUU